GCCUUUAAAUACUUUAGCAACUAUUGCACAGUUUGAUUCUCGCCAGUCAGCUUCAAAUUUCGUCAGCCAACUUUUUCUACUUCGAGAGAGCUUUGUGUGACCGCUGGAUUCACCUCAAUUGGAAUUUCUGUAGAGAAAGUUAUGACAAUUUUAUGAAAAUUGCAAACUGAUUCCUACAAAAAUUUACUUGAUUCUACCUGAGAAAUUAACUUCUAACUUAUUGGCUCAUAUGAGUUGAACGUUGGAUAAGGAGUAUCUAACAAAGUCUAAUAGCUGGAAAAAUAAACAAAAAUCAUUUAUAAUUUGAAGACGAAAAAUAGCCUAGCU
rnacentral:lncRNA from 1 species